AGAGUUUGAUCCUGGCUCAGAACGAACGUUGGCGGCGUGGAUUAGGCAUGCAAGUCGAACGCGAACGCCGGGCUUCGGCCUGGUUAGUAGAGUGGCGAACGGGUGAGUAACGCGUGGGCAAUCUACCCUGAAGUGGGGAAUAACCAUUCUAACGAGUGGCUAAUUCCGCAUGAGCCCAUUCCCUCGCAUGGGGGAUUGGGGAAAGGCGGGGAUCUUCGGACCCGCCGCUUUAGGAGGAGCCCGCGUCCCAUUAGCUUGUUGGCGGGGUAACGGCCCACCAAGGCGACGAUGGGUAGCCGAUCUGAGAGGAUGACCGGCCACACUGGGACUGAGAUACGGCCCAGACUCCUACGGGAGGCAGCAGUCGAGAGGCUUCGGCAAUGGGGGAAACCCUGACCGAGCGACGCCGCGUGCGGGAAGACGGCUUUCGGGUUGUAAACCGCUGUCAGGAGGGAAGAAUCCCCAUGGGCAAAUACCCCAUGGGUUGACGGUACCUCCAAAGGAAGCUCCGGCUAACUCCGUGCCAGCAGCCGCGGUAAUACGGAGGGAGCAAACGUUGUUCGGAUUUACUGGGCGUAAAGGGCGCGUAGGCGGCUUUGCAGUCAGGGGUGAAAUGUCUCGGCUCAACCGAGGACCUGCCUUUGAAACUGCAGAGCUUGAGGCCGUGAGAGGAGACUGGAAUUCCUAGUGUAGCGGUGAAAUGCAUAGAUAUUAGGAAGAACACCAGUGGCGAAGGCGAGUCUCUGGCACGGUUCUGACGCUGAGGCGCGAAAGCCAGGGGAGCGAACGGGAUUAGAUACCCCGGUAGUCCUGGCCGUAAACGAUGGGUACUAAAUGUCGGCCGAUCGACCCGGUCGGUGUUGGAGCUAACGCGUUAAGUACCCCGCCUGGGGAGUACGACCGCAAGGUUGAAACUCAAAGGAAUUGACGGGGGCCCGCACAAGCGGUGGAGCAUGUGGUUUAAUUCGACGCAACGCGAAGAACCUUACCCAGGCUUGACAUCCUAGGGACAGCCCCAGAGACGGGGUCUUCCUUCGGGAUCCUAGGACAGGUGCUGCAUGGCUGUCGUCAGCUCGUGUCGUGAGAUGUUGGGUUAAGUCCCGCAACGAGCGCAACCCUUGUCUCUAGUUGCCAGCGGUUCGGCCGGGCACUCUAGAGAGACUGCCCCGGAAAACGGGGAGGAAGGUGGGGAUGACGUCAAGUCCUCAUGGCCCUUACGCCUGGGGCUACACACGUGCUACAAUGGUCGGUACAGAGGGUUGCAAUGCCGUGAGGCGGAGCUAAUCCCAAAAAGCCGACCUCAGUUCGGAUUGGAGUCUGCAACUCGACUCCAUGAAGUCGGAAUCGCUAGUAAUCGUGGAUCAGCACGCCACGGUGAAUACGUUCCCGGGCCUUGUACACACCGCCCGUCAAGUCAGCCGAAUUGAGUGCUCCCUAAGACGCUGCUCCGACCCGCAAGGGAGGAAGGUGUCCAAGGAGUGCUUGGUGAGGGGGACUAAGUCGAAACAAGGUA
rnacentral:rRNA from 1 species